rnacentral:rRNA from 1 species
UACGUAGGGUGCAAGCGUUAAUCGGAAUUACUGGGCGUAAAGCGUGCGCAGGCGGUUAUGUAAGACAGAUGUAAAAUGCCCGGGCUUAACCUGGGAACUGCAUUUGUGACUGCAUGGCUAGAGUUUGGCAGAGGGGGGUAGAAUUCCACGUGUAGCAGUGAAAUGCGUAGAUAUGUGGAGGAACACCGAUGGCGAAGGCAGCCCCCCUGGGUCAAGAUUGACGCUCAUGCACGAAAGCGUGGGGAGCAAACAGGAUUAGAGUACCCGUG